AGAAUACCAAGGCGCUUGAGAGAACUCGGGUGAAGGAACUAGGCAAAAUGGUGCCGUAACUUCGGGAGAAGGCACGCUGACACGUAGGUGAAGUGAUUUACUCAUGGAGCUGAAGUCAGUCGAAGAUACCAGCUGGCUGCAACUGUUUAUUAAAAACACAGCACUGUGCAAACACGAAAGUGGACGUAUACGGUGUGACGCCUGCCCGGUGCCGGAAGGUUAAUUGAUGGGGUCAGCGCAAGCGAAGCUCCUGAUCGAAGCCCCGGUAAACGGCGGCCGUAACUAUAACGGUCCUAAGGUAGCGAAAUUCCUUGUCGGGUAAGUUCCGACCUGCACGAAUGGCGUAAUGAUGGCCAGGCUGUCUCCACCCGAGACUCAGUGAAAUUGAACUCGCUGUGAAGAUGCAGUGUACCCGCGGCAAGACGGAAAGACCCCGUGAACCUUUACUAUAGCUUGACACUGAACAUUGAGCCUUGAUGUGUAGGAUAGGUGGGAGGCUUUGAAGUGUGGACGCCAGUCUGCAUGGAGCCGACCUUGAAAUACCACCCUUUAAUGUUUGAUGUUCUAACGUGGACCCGUGAUCCGGGUUGCGGACAGUGUCUGGUGGGUAGUUUGACUGGGGCGGUCUCCUCCUAAAGAGUAACGGAGGAGCACGAAGGUUGGCUAAUCCUGGUCGGACAUCAGGAGGUUAGUGCAAUGGCAUAAGCCAGCUUGACUGCGAGCGUGACGGCGCGAGCAGGUGCGAAAGCAGGUCAUAGUGAUCCGGUGGUUCUGAAUGGAAGGGCCAUCGCUCAACGGAUAAAAGGUACUCCGGGGAUAACAGGCUGAUACCGCCCAAGAGUUCAUAUCGACGGCGGUGUUUGGCACCUCGAUGUCGGCUCAUCACAUCCUGGGGCUGAAGUAGGUCCCAAGGGUAUGGCUGUUCGCCAUUUAAAGUGGUACGCGAGCUGGGUUUAGAACGUCGUGAGACAGUUCGGUCCCUAUCUGCCGUGGGCGCUGGAGAACUGAGGGGGGCUGCUCCUAGUACGAGAGGACCGGAGUGGACGCAUCACUGGUGUUCGGGUUGUCAUGCCAAUGGCACUGCCCGGUAGCUAAAUGCGGAAGAGAUAAGUGCUGAAAGCAUCUAAGCACGAAACUUGCCCCGAGAUGAGUUCUCCCUGAGACUUUAGGUCUCCUGAAGGAACGUUGAAGACGACGACGUUGAUAGGCCGGGUGUGUAAGCGCAGCGAUGCGUUGAGCUAACCGGUACUAAUGAACCGUGAGGCUUAACCUU
rnacentral:rRNA from 1 species